rnacentral:miRNA from 1 species
AAAUAUUAGGUUGGUGCAAAAGUAAUUGCGGUUUUUGUCAUUAAAAGUAAUGGCAAAAACCACAAUUACUAUAACUUGUCUUAUGCUUAA